GCCGCUGUAGCUCAGUUGGAAGAGCGUCGGUUUUGUAGUCCGAAUGGCCGGGGUUCGACUCCUCGCGGCGGCA
rnacentral:tRNA from 1 species